rnacentral:rRNA from 1 species
AGCAGCCGCGGUAAUUCCAGCUCCAAUAGCGUAUAUUAGAGUUGUUGCAGUUAAAAAGCUCGUAGUUGAAUUUCGGGAUCAUCAGGUUGGUCGUGCCUCUGGUAUGUACUUUCCUUGAUGGUUCCUCCUUCUUGAAGAUCCGUAAUGCCAUUAAUUUGGUGUUGCGGGGAAUCAGGACUGUUACUUUGAAAAAAUUAGAGUGUUUAAAGCAGGCAAUCGCUUGAAUACAUUAGCA